rnacentral:lncRNA from 1 species
UUCGCCACCAGCUCAGAGGUCACCGCAGAGGAGCCCAGCCGCCCGCCAGCGCUUUUGCGCCGCUAUAAAAAGCCAUUUAAGGGCCGCUUUGUGAGCCGCAGCGCUGCUUGCAACCUUGGAGGAGGAAGCAGCGGAAGCCACUGUCCCGCAGUCUCGGGGCCGCUUCCGGCCCCAGUGGGGCUGCGAACCCCGGAAACCCCCGCGCUGCCCGCCCCGCUCCCGGCGGCUGCGGGGGGACGCGGAGGGGAGACGGAGCCCCGGAUCAGCCCGACCUCGACCUCGCCCCGAGGGUCGCGGCUGCCUGCGCCCGCGCUGCGCCCCCUCUCGGGGAGGUUGCUGCCAUCCUCGCCCAUUUCUCCGAGGGAAGCGCUCGGGGCAGGGUAGGGAAAUCCUGCCUGGGGCUUCACGGUGGUAAAGCGGCAAAGGCUGGAUCUAAAGUCGGACAGUAAAGCCCCAAAGCCAGUGAUCUUCACGUAAUCGCCAAGGAGGCAAAGGUAGGACCGUCGCUCCAGCCACCAAGUCGAGCAGCACGAGGCUUAACCGCGAGGGUGCAGAGUCCGGAAACCUCACUGCCGUCCCGGCUCCGAGCUGCCUUUAAAACACCGCCACCUACAGUACCCGGGAUCGAACUCAGGACCUUGAGCUUGCGAGGCAGGCGCAGUGCCACUGAGCUACAUCCCCGGCCCGUGUCGUUCCAUUUAUUGCCAGGAGCACGGAACUGGACUGAAGUACAAGAUUCCUCGUCUAGAGGAGGAGACACAUUUCACACAGAAAUCACUGAGGCCGUCUCCAAAGAACCCCGGAGGGGAGAAGACACUUCUGCCCAGCGGCGUCCCACUGGCCUACAGCUAGGAAGACGGAGCCUGGGAGGGUGCAGUAAACCACUCAGUCACCCUAGUGACCUAAAACCUUCUGGCCACUACUCUGCAGCCUCUCAUCUGUCCUACUGUUCCCUAUAUCCCUGGUUUAAGGGAGGCACUAGAUAAACAUGUGUUGAUUGAAUGAGUGCUCGAACACUUUAAUGACUCUUUGCCAGCUUGUCUAGUGACAUUUUCUGCAAAGUUUUACAAUUUAGUCAUAAAUGCAGUUGGUAGUCAUGUUAUAUGUUUCAUUGUGUCUCAUCACCCCAGAAUUACUUUAUGAAUUAAAUAUCCUGAAAAGUAAAAUAGAGUUGAAUGCAAUACAAUCCCAAACCCAUAUAUCUUGUGCCGUCAUCUUUGCUGUCAAAAAGCCAAUGCCUCCUUACACAGCAGAGAGCACUGACAACAUAUUAAUUUGGUUUAGCUCAUGAGGUACAUACACUUGAGCAUGAACAGUACAAAAAAAGAAGUCAAG